AAACUGCCUGGGUAAACUAAAGAGAUCAUUCCCUUCAAAUGGAGAUGUCCAUUCAUGAGAAUUAGCUGCAGAUGUUUCUGGAUUGACCACUCCAACGUCCUGCAAUCCUGGAAUGCAUACACCAUUCCCACUUGCAGCUGUUCUCAUUGCCAACUUAGCACCCAAGCAAGUAGUACUUGAAUCAUAUAUUUGGGUGCCAUUUUUUAAAGAACCUGGCGCCAAACACAAUCCACUAGGCCUUGGCAAGGACAAACUUCGACCCACACUCCAGUCUAUGCUGGUGUAAUCUAACUGAGCCAUAGAGCCAGCAGUGCUCCAGUCA
rnacentral:misc_RNA from 1 species